rnacentral:rRNA from 1 species
UACGGGGGGAGCAAGCGUUGUUCGGAUUUACUGGGCGUAAAGGGCGCGUAGGCGGUCAGCACAAGUCAGUUGUGAAAUCUCCGGGCUUAACUCGGAAAGGUCAACUGAUACUGUGCGACUAGAGUGCAGAAGGGGCAACUGGAAUUCCUGGUGUAGCGGUGAAAUGCGCAGAUAUCAGGAAGAACACCCGUGGCGAAGGCGGCUCUCUGGUACGUGACUGACGCUGAGACGCGAAAGCGUGGGGAGCAAACAGG